CGUCUAUAUACGUAUAGCAUAUCAAUAAGCGGAGGAAAAGAAACUAACUAGGAUUCCCUUAGUAACGGCGAGUGAAGCGGGAAGAGCUCAAAUUUGAAAUCUUCAAGGUUCUACCUUGACGAAUUGUAGUUUAAAGAAGUGUUUUCUGUUGGAAUUUUUGGUAAAAGUUCUUUGGAAUAGGACAUCAUAGAGGGUGAGAAUCCCGUAUUUGACCAUUACUUUCCAACUUUGUGAUACACUUUCAAAGAGUCGGAUUGUUUGGGAAUGCAGUCCAAAAUGGGUGGUAAAUUUCAUCUAAAGCUAAAUAUUGGCGAGAGACCGAUAGCGAACAAGUACCGUGAGGGAAAGAUGAAAAGAACUUUGAAAAGAGAGUUAAACAGUACGUGAAAUUGUCAAAAGGGAAGCGUUUGACACCAGUGUUGUUUUCUCGAAAAUCAAUUAAAAAUGGUGGGAUUUUGUGUUGUAUUGACUUUAUCAGCUUUCUGCACUUUUUUCUUGUCUUUUUUAAUGCACUAUUCGUUUAACAAGUCAACAUCAAUUUCUUUUGUUGUAAAAGGGUCAUUGGAAGGUGGCUUUCUUUUCGGAGAAAGUGUUUAUAGCCUUUGACUUCUGCAAUCGGAGAGAUUGAGGUCUGCAGCGUAGAUCCUUCGGGGUUAGAUGCAUUUGUGCUAAGUUAUAGCCUUUCAUAGACAACUUGUUGACUAUGAUCAGUCAUGUAGCUUACUCGCUUAUGUUCAUUUUACCUACGCUUAGGAUGUUGACGAUCAGCUGAGCGCG
rnacentral:rRNA from 1 species